UACGGAGGAUCCAAGCGUUAUCCGGAUUCAUUGGGUUUAAAGAGUGCGUAGGCGGAAUGAUAAGUCAGUGGUGAAAUCCUGCAGCUUAACUGCAGAACUGCCAUUUGAUACUGUCAAUCUUGAGUAUAUUUGAUGUGGGCGGAAUGUGUCAUGUAGCGGUGAAAUGCUUAGAUAUGACACAGAACACCGAUUGCGAAGGCAGCUCACAAAAACUAUAACUGACGCUGAGGCACG
rnacentral:rRNA from 1 species